rnacentral:rRNA from 1 species
GUGAACGCUGGCGGUAGGCCUAACCCAUGCAAGUCGCACGGCAGCACAGUAAGAGCUUGCUCUUACGGGUGGCGAGUGGCGGACGGGUGAGGAAUACAUCGGAAUCUACUUUUUCGUGGGGGAUAACGUAGGGAAACUUACGCUAAUACCGCAUACGACCUACGGGUGAAAGCAGGGGAUCUUCGGACCUUGCGCGAUUGAAUGAGCCGAUGUCGGAUUAGCUAGUUGGCGGGGUAAAGGCCCACCAAGGCGACGAUCCGUAGCUGGUCUGAGAGGAUGAUCAGCCACACUGGAACUGGGACACGGUCCAGACUCCUACGGGAGGCAGCAGUGGGGAAUAUUGGACAAUGGGCGCAAGCCUGAUCCAGCCAUACCGCGUGGGUGAAGAAGGCCUUCGGGUUGUAAAGCCCUUUUGUUGGGAAAGAAAAGCAGCAGGUUAAUACCCCGCUGUUCUGACGGUACCCAAAGAAUAAGCACCGGCUAGCUUCGUG